rnacentral:rRNA from 1 species
UCCUACGGGAGGCAGCAGUAGGGAAUCUUCGGCAAUGGACGAAAGUCUGACCGAGCAACGCCGCGUGAGUGAAGAAGGUUUUCGGAUCGUAAAACUCUGUUGUUAGAGAAGAACGUUGUGUAGAGUGGAAAAUUACACAAGUGACGGUAUCUAACCAGAAAGGGACGGCUAACUACGUGCCAGCAGCCGCGGUAAUACGUAGGUCCCGAGCGUUGUCCGGAUUUAUUGGGCGUAAAGCGAGCGCAGGUGGUUUCCUAAGUCUGAUGUGAAAGCCCACGGCUCAACCGUGGAGGGUCAUUGGAAACUGGGAGACUUGAGUGCAGAAGAGGAAAGUGGAAUUCCAUGUGUAGCGGUGAAAUGCGUAGAGAUAUGGAGGAACACCAGUGGCGAAGGCGACUUUCUGGUCUGUAACUGACACUGAGGCGCGAAAGCGUGGGGAGCAAACAGGAUUAGAUACCCUGGUAGUCCACGCCGUAAACGAUGAGUGCUAAGUGUUAGAGGGUUUCCGCCCUUUAGUGCUGAAGUUAACGCAUUAAGCACUCCGCCUGGGGAGUACGGCCGCAAGGCUGAAACUCAAAGGAAUUGACGGA